UAUUAUUGUAAUGUGCAACAAAUAAGUCUCAGGAAAAAGAAACUUGUCAUUGCACAAAAUGCUAAAUGCUGUAAGAUAAACAGGUGGGAAACAGCACUCUGUUGAGACUUAAUACGAACACUUUUCACAAAGUCAAUAAUGGACAGUUCAUUUUGGACAAGCUUUUUAGACCUGCAGAAGGGACUUUAUAGACCUGGGAAGGACUGUGUCUUUUUCAUAUUUAACUGUUAAGCAUAUUUUUCCCCUCGCCUGAAUUCUAGAGCAUUGUGAACUACAAUUUCCAGCAUGCCUACCUGGACUGAUUACACACACACCUGUUCCCUAUUUCAAGGACUAUUUAAGCAUUAUACAAACUAAAGUCUAUGCAAAGUCUUGUUUUGCCACUGCUAACAUUUCUGAUCGUUUAUUCUGAUUAUUGCCUGCCUGUGUUUGACUCCUGCCUGUUUACCUAUCGUUUGAUCCUCUGCUACCUGCCCUUUUGAUAACAUCGGUUUCAUCUGGAUUUGUACUUUGUUUGCUGCCUGCCCUGAACCUUGCCUGUUUAUGACCAUGACUCUCAUCUGUCUAUGCUGUUCUAUUGCUGGAGAUUUACUCUGACUGCCUGUUUAUGAUUUGCACCUUUUCUAAUAAACUGCACAUGGAUCUUAACCCCAGUUCUUCGGAGUCUGUCACAGAAGAAUUCGCCAACUACUGAUCCAGUGGCGCUCCUUCAAUUGUCUACAGAGGUUUCCGCUCAAGCAAAUGCGUUGGUUGUUCAUCAACAACAACAACUCACCCGGCUGACUGCAUUAACGGAGGAAUUAGUAAAGACCUUACAGAACCUCCACAUUCCUGCAUCGGGCCAACCACCACAGGCAUCUCAGCCAAUUCCGGUAAAUAACCCUCCCUCUCCGAACACCUUCACUGCCAAUCUGUGACUUGCUUUUCCGGAAAAGUUUGAUGGAACAUCGUCUAAGUGCAAGGGAUUUUUGAUGCAGUGUUCGAUGUUUGUGAAACAACAACCCACGCUAUAUCCCUCUGAUGACAGUCGCAUCUCUUUUGUUUGCUCCUUAAUAACUGGAAGGGCUCUGGAUUGGGCAACCGCAAUAUGGUCUAAUGAGGGGGUCGAGGUUCACCACUCUCGAUAAUUUUCUCCAGCGUUUCCGAGAGGUGCUCGAGCAUCCCGAGGGAAGAAAGAAUGCUGGUGAGCUGUUACUCUCACUCCGACAGGAGAAAAACACUGCUGCUGUGUAUGCGCUUUCAUUCCACACUCUCGCCACUCAGACAGUGUGGGUAGAAUACACACUUAAAUUACUUUUCCGAAGGGGACUCACUCUGGAGCUACAAUUGGAGCUGGCAUGCCGCGAUGAAGGCAAAAACCCUGGACCAGUUUACUGACCUAGCCAUUCGUCUAGAUAAUCUCAUCCGCUCACGGAGACCAGUCUGCUUCCCAACUGUCACACUGCAAACCACAUUCAGCAUGGGAGAGACAGAACCCAUGCAGAUUAAGUACACUCAUCUGACGACAGAGGAGAAAGAACGCCGCAUGAAGCAAUGUCUGUGUUUAUAUUGCAGUCAGGCUGGACAUCUACGAGCAACCUGUCCCGUACAGUCAGCCCAAUCAUCUAAACCGGUGUGGCAGCAUUAAAUGGACGCCCUGGGUCUGGCCACAUUCAUUACACCACAACAGACAUCACUCUCCAAGUUGGCACAAUUCACACAGAAAGGACACGCCUCUAUAUCAUUCAUUCACCACACAACCCUGUAAUACUUGGAUUACCAUGGCUUCAACAACACAAUCCUCAAAUUUCUUGGUGUGAAGGACAAAUUUCCCAGUGGGACUCAACAUGUUUCUCCAGCUGCCUAAAGCCAAUUUCAUCUGUUUCCAUUGGAACCACUACUGUCUCAGAGGAUUCACAUCAGUGCUCAACCUACCCUCUGAGCAUGACAACCUCGAAGCCUUUAGUAAGGCCAAAGCAUCACAACUCCCUCCUCACCAACCUGGUGAUUGUGCCAUUGAACUGUUGCCCGGCACUACACUACAACAAGGGAGGAUUUUUCCUUUGUCUGAACCCGAGGCUGAAGCUAUGAAAAGUUACAUUGAGGAGGAACUGUCAAAGGGUUUCAUUCAACCAUCCACCUAACCUGCAGCAGCCGGGUUCUUCAUGGGCAUGAAGGAUGGCAGGCUCAGUCCUUGCAUCGAUUACCACACUCUCAACAACAUAACGGUAGAGUUCCGUUAUCCAUUACCACUGGUUCCAGCAGCACUUGAACAGUUACGUACCGCAAGAUACUUCACCAAGCUCGACCUUCGCAGUGCAUAUAAUCUCAUACGCAACCAGGAGGGGGACGAAUGGAAAACAGCAUUCUCCACCAGCAGUGGACACUACGAAUAUCUGGUCAUGCCCUUCGGAUUGUCUAAUAGUCCUUCAGUGUUACAGUCAUUCAUAAAUUAUGUGUUCAGAGAUAUGCUGAACCGGUGGGUAAUUGUAUACAUUGACAAUAUCCUCAUUUACUCAAACUCCCUGGAAGAACACAUCACCCAUGUCAGAGCAGUCCUUCAAUGUCUAAUCCACCACCAGCUCUAUGCUAAAGCCGAAAAAUGUGAAUUCCAUCAGACCUCUGUGUCAUUCCUAGGCUACAUCAUCAGCUCAGAAGGGGCUGCCAUGGAUGACAGCAAGGUAUGUGCAGUGUUAAACUGGCCUCAACCCAUAUCCGUGAAAGAGUUGCAACGCUUCCUGGGGUUCAUCAAUUUCUACAGGCGGUUUAUCAGGAAUUUCAGUACAGUCGCUGCUCCACUGACAUCUAUGUUAAGGGGAGGGGGCACCAGACUGUGUUGGUCUACAAUGACCCUCCAGGCCUUCAAGGACUUGAAGUCCCGUUUCACCUCCACCCCAUUCUGCACCAUCCUAACCCCAAUACCCCAUUCAUAGUUGAAGUAGACACCUCCAACACAGGAAUCAGAGCCAUAUUUUCACAACGACAUGGUACGCCUCCAAAACCCUACCCUUGCGCUUAUUACUCUCGAAAGCUAUCUCCUGCAGAGCGAAACUACAAUGUGGGCAACUGAGAAUUACUGGCUAUGAAAGCAGCUCUCAAAGAAUGGUGACAUUGGCUGGAGGGGGCAAGACAUCCUUUCCUCAUGCUAACGGACCAUCGUAAUAUUUACGCUCGGCGAAAAGACUGAAUCCGAGGCAGGCAAGGUGGGCUUUAUUCUUUACCCAUUUCAUUUUCACCAUUACAUAUUGUCCUGGUACAAAGAAUUCCAAAGCCGAUGCACUCUCUUGUCAGUUUGAGUCUGACACCCAGAACCAGACAUCAGAACCCAUCAUUCCCACAUUGUUAAUCUUAGCUCCAGUCCAAUAGGACAUCAUGACCGAAAUCGCCCAAGCUCAGACUCAGGUCCGACUCCUCCUGACUGCCCUCCGGAUAAGACCUACAUACCACAACUCCUUCGGGAAAAGACCUCACAAGGGGUCCAUACUACCACCAGUUCUGGACAUCCAAGUAUCGCAGCCACACUUCAACUGCUUCGGAACCAUUUCUGGUGGAACACUAUGCAGGCUGAAACCAUCUCUUACAUCAACAACUGUCCCACCUGCGCAGCAAACAAAUCCUCCAAGCAACCUCCCGCAGGACUCCUCCAACUUCUGCCCAUUCCCCAUCAUCCUUGGUCUCAUCGACUUUAUCACAGAUCUCCCUGUCUCUCAAGGUAACACCACCAUUCUAACUGUUAUUGAUUGAUUCUCUAAAGCGUGUCAACUAAUCCCUCUGCCCAAGCUGCCCAAAGCCUACGAGACUGCAGAACAUCUUCUGCAUCAGGCGUUUCGCUUCUAUGGACUACCUGAUGACAUAGUCUCCGACAGGGGUCCACAGUUUACAUCUCGGGUCUGGAAGGCGUUCUUUCAACAACUCAACAUUAACAUCAGCCUCACUUCAGGAUACCAUCCACAAUCAAAUGGCCAAACCAAAUGCUUAAACCAGAUCACAUGCUUUCUUAGAAUGUACUGUCACCAGAACCAAGCUGACUGGAGCCGGUAUCUGCUUUUGGCAUAGUAUGCUCAAAAUUCCCUUCAAAAGACGUCCAUGGGAAUGACCCCCUUUCAAUGUGUGCUGGGAUUUCUCUUGCUCACCACCAGAGGUCUCCCUCGCCUGAAUUCUAGAGCAUUGUGAACUACAAUUCCCAGCAUGCCUACCUGGACUGAUUACACUCACAUCUGUUCCCUAUUUCAAGGACUACUUAAGCGUUACACAAACUAAAGUCUAUGCAAAAUCUUGUUUUGCCACUGCUAACAUUUCUGAGUGUUUAUUCUGAUUAUUGCCUGCCUGUGUUUGACUCCUCCCUGUUUACCUAUCAUUUGAUUCUCUGCUGCCUGCCCUUUUGAUAACAUCUGUUUCAUCUGGAUUUAUACUUUGAUUGUUUGCUGCCUGCCCUGAACCUUGCCUGUUUAUGACCACAACUCUCAUCUUUCUAUGCUGUUCUAUUGCUGGAGAUUUACCCUGCCUGCCCGUUUAUGAUUUGCACCUUUUCUAAUAAACCACACAUGGAUCUUAACCCCAGUUCUUCGGAGUCUAUUUUACAAUUACAGUGCCACUGUGUUCUCUUUACAUUCAUAGGUCCUUAUGAAAACCUGGAUAGUAUGUUUUUUAAAAUUUUUAUUAAAACAUACUGUUGGCAUACUGUAAUUAUGAUCAGUUUUUUUUUUCUCUUUUAAAAACAUUAUUAGUGCACAAAUAUUUUACAAUGUGUGUACUACACAAUAUAUACAAGGCUGUGUACAAGAAUAAAACAUUUGCACAAUGUUUUAAUUGAAAACAUUUAAUUAUCUGCAUCAUGCAUACUUUCCAUCUCAUCUUGUUGACAAAAUCCAAACAAAGCUUUGUUAAGAAACUGUACCAAAGUUCAUUGUCGGGCAGAUAAAGGAGGAAGUGGGAGCCGGUUUCCACGAUCCAUGUGAGUCAGGUUUUAAUUCUUAAUACACAGCAAUCACUUUACAGCUUAAAAAUACAAAGAGUGGCUUUUCAGCAUACACAAAUAAAGUUCCGCUUUUCAGCAAUCAAACAAAACACUCAGUGAUAAACACGCAGUCUCUUGUGUGUCCCUCUCCCUCUCUCUGUGCACCGGGCCAUUUUUAUUUCCCCCGUCUCUCACUGCAAACACAGAAACUGUAAUUACCAGCAAAUUCAUCUCAGGUGAACCUCCUUUCCACUUCCUCUCUCCCCAGACGAGGACUCGACCACACCCUCGCAUCCACAUACCCCCACCGCCCGACUCAGGCCGGGGGAACUAUCUGGUCUGCCCACUCCCCCCUCCUUCUAGAGAGGAAGUCUGUGACAGUCAUCUGCGCCCCCGGUCUGUGGACCACCUCGAACGUAAAUGGCUGGAGUGCCAGAUACCAACGGGUGAUCCAGGCGUUGGCAUCCUUCAUGUGGUGGAGCCAUCGGAAUGGGGCAUGGUCCGAACAGAGGGUGAAUGCCUGUCCCAACAAAUAGUAGUGGAGAAUAAGGACCGCCCACUUGAUGACCAAACACUCCUCCUCUAUGGUGCUGUACUUCGUCUCUCUCAUAGAGAGCUUCCGACGAAUGUACAGCACCAGGCGAUCCUCCCCCUCCACCACCUGGGACAGUACAUCACCCAGUCCCCUGUCCCAUGCGUCCAUCUGUAAAACAAAAGGGAGAGAUAAAUCGGGGAAUGCAGAAGUGGCCCGCCACAAAGUGCAGCUUGUACCUGUGUGAAAGCUUGUUGGCACGGCUCCGUCCACUGGACUGGGUCUGGAGCUCACUUUUUAGUGAGAUCAUUCAGCGGACUGAUGAUGUCCGAAUAAUUAGGCACAAACCUUCAAUAAUAGCCAGCCAGCCCCAGGAACUCUCUCACCUCCUUUUUGGUCUUGGGUCUUGGGCAGGUCGCAAUCACUGCGGUUUUAUCAAUUUGGGGUCGCACCUGUACAUGCCCUAAUUGGAACCCCAUAUACCAUACCUCCACCCUCCCAAUUGCGCACUUAUUCGGGUUUGCUGUGAGGCCUGCUCAUCUCAAUGACCAUAGAACGGCCCCUAGAUGCUGCAUGUGCCACUGCCAAUCAUUACUGUAAAUAAUGAUAUCAUCCAAAUAAGCAGCGGCAUACGCAGUAUGCGGUCUGAGGACUCCACAUAAGAGCUGAAACAUAGCCAGGGCCCCAAACAAACCGAACAGAAGGGUCACAAAUUGGUGUAACCCAAACGGUGUGGCGAAGGCCAUUUUCUCACGGGACAUUGGCGUUAAGGGGAUCUGCCAAUAACCCUUUGUUAAAUCCAGUGUCGAAUAAAAGUGAGCCGUGCCCAACCGAUCGAGCAGUUCAUCAAUACGAGGUAUUGGAUAUGCGUCAAAUUUCGAGACUGCGUUGACUUAUAAUCCACACAAAACCGGACCAAGCCAACGCUCUUAGGCACCAGAACCACCAGGCUGGCUCAAUCACUGUGGGAUUCUUCUAUUACUCCCAUAUCGAGCAUGUUGUCUUGAUGUGGUGUUCUAUGGAGAUUAGUGUGGCCGGGGAGAGGCGAGAACACGUCAGAUAAAUUUUUGCGAUCUGGCAACCUCCGUACGUUUUGAUGGUGAGAGGUGGUCUCCACAAGGGACCGGGGUGAACUGAUUGGCUUUUAGACUCACCUCCGGACUGAGCUCAUCCCUCUCCGGAACUACCAUCACCAAGGAUACGGGGACUGCCUCUCUCCAUGAUUCUGGUAGGUUGAAGUGGUAAAUUUGACGAGCCUUGCCCCUAUCCAUACACACUACCCUAUAGUUGACUUCCCCAACUCGCCGUGUGACCUCAAAGGACCCUAGCCACUUCGCAAGUAAUUUAGAGCUCGAUGUGGGCAGUAAUAAAAGCACUUUAUCUCCCGGUGCAAAUUCCCAUAGCCGAGCUCCCCUGUUAUACAGCCGGGACUGACAUUCUUGCGCCUAUAGCAAAUUCUCCUGUGAUAGAUGCCCCAGUGUGUGGAGUUUUGCUCUCAGGUCAAGAACAUAUUGAAUUUCAUUUCUGCUCUGUGAAGAUCCCUCUCCCAAUUUUCCUUCAUGACAUCUAACACGCCAUGGGGCUUACGCCCAUAUAACAAUUCAAAUGGGGAAAACCCAGUGGAGGCUUGCGGGACCUCUCGCACUGCAAAUAACGGGUUCGAGCCACUUAUCCCAAUCCGAGUAUCUUCGUGCACAAACUUAUGAAGCAUAUUUUUUUAAGGUCUUAUUUAAUCGUUCGACCAAGCUGUCUGUUUGUGGAUGGUACACGCUUGUCCGAAUCUAUUUAAUACUCAAUAAUUCAUACAGCUUGCGUAGUAUACGUGACAUGAAAGUAGUGCCCUGAUCAGUGAGGAUUUCUUUCAGAAUCCCCACUCGGGAGAUUAUUCUGAAAAAUGCCACACUAUGUGCUGAGAUGUUGCAAACAGCACUUCAUAUAUAGCAUCAGAAUGCAAUCUUCCUACACAUGUAAUUAGUUAUUUAUUUGGAUUGUAUUUUUUUUUCCUGCUUAUUGAAAGUCGAGCAUGUUAUGUUACUCUUUAUUGCAGCAGCAUUACCUUCAGCGGCGCACGUGUUACCUCAAUAGAAACAAGUUUAAGAAACUGAGUGCAGGCCUGAACACGGCCCAACUCGCGGGCAUAAUUUCUAAAGUGGUCAACUGGAAUUCACAAGGAGCACAUGGAUAUUGUAGAAGAUAAACAAGGAGGAAAAAGCUGUAUGAGGAGACAAUUGUCAGCCUGGCUUCACUGAAGAGCUGUUUUAACAGGUAAGAGAAUAGACAACAAUAGCGAAGUAAAAAAGAUUAUACUAUCUGUUUUUAUUUGCAGUGUAGAUACUUUUGCAACAUGCAGUAUAACAAUAGGCUUAUAAAAUUACUGUGUUUCAGAUAGUUAUAACUUUUAAUGUUAAUAGAAAUGUUGACCCAAAAAUGUAAAUUCUGUCAUCAUUUACUUAACCUCAUGCCCUUCCAAAUUCAUGUGACUUUCUUUUGCAGAACCCAAUAGCUUCUUUUGGUCACCAUUGACUUUCAUUAUAUGGUCAAAAACAUUCUUUAAAAUAUUAUCCUUUGUGUUCCACAGAUAAAGUCAUACAGGUUUGGAAGGACAUGAGGUUGAGUAAAUGAUGACAGAAUUUACAUUUUGGGUGAACUAUCCCUUUUAAUGUAUGUAUAAUACAUUUCUCAUCUCUUUUUUUAUUUUUAUUUUUUAUCUUUGUUACAUAUUGUUAUAUAUUAAAAAAAAAUCAUUUUCAAAAUUUAAUUUCUAGGGAUGGGCUUGACUCUUGCAGAGAGGGUUGCUGGCAGUAGGAACUGAUCUUUAUUUCUUACUGAUUUUUUAUCACUACAAGCUUGCCCAGAGUUUUCCUAAGCUGUUUGGAGUGUGUGGGGAUGUGAACGUGGUCACGUGUCUGUAAGUGGGGAGAGGAAGUGGUAAGAGCCAUUACCUGGUGGUUACUGACUCUAAACAUCUGUCUAUCAUUUCAGUGACAGCAGAGAAGGGCUUUAAAAGGCCGGCGGAAUGCCAGAUCGGGGAGAGAGACCGAGUCACUCACACACCCAGACUGGAACUGAACGCUGAAAAGCUGUUUAUAUUUUGCACCUAUAGAGUUUAUGUUGAAUGUUAUCAUUGAAGCUGAUGUGUGUAAACUGAAGUUAUUGCUGAAAAGCGAAACCCUGAGAAUUAAAAAGAACCCACGUGGAUUGUGAAGUCAGCUCCCGCUUUCUUCUUUCCUCCAACCUUCAGAAUGUUACAUUGUGAUGCAGCACAUGUUUCCUUGGCAAUGAAGUGGAACCUUAUGUUAGUGUAGCUUUCUGCAAUGCACAUUAUGAGUAUGAAGAUGUGAUUGUUGUAUGGUUCUAGGUUGAACGUGUGCCUCAAGUUCCUUGAAUGCAGAACCACCAUGGAGUUCCAGAACCUUUGUGGAGACCCUAGAUUUAAAUUUGGUGUCAAAUCCAGAGAUGGGCCUUGUGAGUGUGUGCUGUUGAAUAAAUCUCUCAGCUGUCUUGCAGACUUUCAGGACGCUGUCUGACGGUCUGAUAAGUCCACCUUGGGACUUCAUGUCGAUCAGUGUGUGUCCAAGUUCAUCUUGGGUAGAGCUCUUGACACUAAGUGCUGAUAAACAGGCUGAAUGUCACUUUGCCGAAAUGCCAGCAUAUCAGAAGGUGUUGCCUCCAGUACCACUGUGCUAUCCAGUGGAGAACAGUUGCCACUAGCUCUGAUGGCAUGUCUUGCUACCAUUCUUUUGAAAGCUGGCUUAAAUUGCCUUGCUGUGGGAUUGUUGUUAAAUCCAUUAGCAGAUUUGUUCCUACAUAUCUUCAAAUUUAUAUUGUAUUGUUCAGUGUAAUAGUACAUUUUUGUGUGUACUUGGAAGCUUUUGUUAUUGAACAAAUAUAUGCAGUUGCAAUAGAAAUUAUUCAACCCCCCUGAUCAGCAGUGCAUUCUGGUGAUGUGAAUUAAAACACAAUCAACUAAAACCUCAGUAAACAGUCAAAGUAAGUUUUUAAUACAUAUUUGAGUGAUUUUGAGAACAAAGAGUUCAGUUUACCCAAAUUUUAAAAUAAAAAAUAACUAAUUCUCUCCACAAAUGUCAUGUCAAAAAUAUUCAACCCCCAAAGUCAAUCAUUUGUGGAGCAUCCUUUAUAAGUGUAAGUGUUCUCAGGCUUCGGACACCUCUCUAUUAGAAUUUAUACACAUUUCUCAUGAGCAAAAGCUUCCAGCUCAUUGACAUGCUUUGGUUUCUGUGCUACCACUGCUUCCUUGAAAUCACAACAAAGGUUUGCAAUGGGAUUUUAAUGAUGGACUGAAAGGGCAAUUUAAGGACAUUCCACGACCUAUCCCUGAACCAGAUUUUGGACAACUUGGAUGUAUCCUUGGUGUUAUUGUCAGUGAUCACUGAGCUUCAAUUUACACACUGAAGGCAUCACAUUUUUCAUGCCAAAAUGGCCUGAUACCUGAAAGAAUCAUGGUGUCAGUCACAUAGUCAGGAUAGCCGUUUCCUGCAGCCGCAAAACACCCCCAUAACAGGACUGACCCACCCCGUGCUUGACUGUGGGGAUGGUGUCGUUCUUGUCAUCUUACUCCAGAUGUACGGCUGACCCAUGGGUCUAAAACUCAUUUUCAGUUUAGUGUCAUACGUCUAUAAAACCUUCUUCCAGGACUCCACAGGUCUUUCCUAAUUACUUCUUGAAUAUUCAAGUCAACAUUUCCCUUGGUGAAGUUUUGCUUUCUUCCACACCCCAAGAAGGUUGCUGUUGUACCAUAUUUAAAAAAUGUAUGAAUAAUGCUGCCAACUUUGUCUAUUGGAAAUUGAAGUGCCUUGGAAAUGUACUUUUAGCCAUGACCUUUCUUGUGUAAUGAAAUAAUCUCCUCUAUUAGCUUUUGAGAAAGCUUAUUUUUAAUAGCAUUUUUUGCAUAGAAAUACAUUUUUGCUUACAACACUAAACUUAAAUUUUAAAACUUAAAUAAGUGCCAUUGCAGAUUGAUGACUUAAUUUUGUUUUAAGACAAUUACUUGUGUAGCCUUACAUAUUUAAGAAACAGCUACAUGCAACAGGGGUUGAGUAAUUAUGAAAUGGCUGUAUUUAAAAACAAUCCUGCUAUUUAGAAAUAUUAGGUUAUAUAUUCACACUAUGACUUUGAAUGCGUCACUCAACUGAUACAGAUGUAAAGUUUAAAAAUUCUGGGUCAUCAGAAAAGCUUACCUUUGUAAAUCAUUAUUAUCUUGUGGGG